ensembl:snoRNA
CAUGCCCCAUGUGUUGCAAGUGUGACUUCUGUGUCACAUUUGUGUCAUUAGGUGGCAGAGAGGAAAAGGCUCUGUCUUUGCUGGUGCUCUCAGACCUGUGGGUGCUCAGGAAUGAUCCACGGCCUGACAAU